GUUACAGCAAUCCAUGGUUCUGCCUGACCUUCCUCAUCUAGAGAAGCUGCACUGCCUAUUACCAGCCUUGAAGACUCUGUUCAGGAUCUGCACAGCCCAGUGGAGAUGGUGUGGAGAUAUUGCUUGCUGCUGGAUAUAUCUAGGUGAUCUCCUGAUCUCCUCAUAGUCUCUGAGCACAACUUUGACAUAAAUGGAAAUCUUCUCCUGGUGGAAAAAGAGAUGGUGGUGUGGCUGAACAACAGUCAUGCCGCUGUGGAAGGCUGCUCAGACGAGUUUUUUAGGCUUUGUUCUUUGAGUCACUGCUGACUUGCAUGUUGGGGCUUCUAAAGAAAGUUGCAUCUUGCCUUGGGAACACAGUUCUUUCAGCUGACUCAGAACCUGCAGCUAAGAGGAGCCCAGAGGACCAGUGCCAGCUCUCCCAGGACUUUAUAAACAGUCACGUCUCCUGGCUCUGCUUUGUAGCUGGCUGACUCAUAGUCCUCCUUGUAAAGAGCACCUGCAGACCUGAGUGGCUGCUCUGAGACUGCUCAUCCAACAUGGAAAACUACAGCACCGAGCCAUAAGCAGUGCAGAAACUCUGCAGUGGUGAACUAGGCAUUUAGUAUCCUUUUCUGAUCAUAAUUUUCCCUGUGAGGGGGGAAGAAGAAAUCAUU